rnacentral:rRNA from 1 species
AUUGAACGCUGGCGGCAGGCCUAACACAUGCAAGUCGAACGAGUGGCGGACGGGUGAGUAAUGUCUGGGAAACUGCCUGAUGGAGGGGGAUAACUACUGGAAACGGUAGCUAAUACCGCAUACCAUCAGAUUUGCACAGAUGGGAUUAGCUAGUAGGUUGGGUAACGGCUCACCUAGGCGACGAUCCCUAGCUGGUAUGCGAGGAUGACCAGCCAAACUGGAACUGAGACACGGUCCAGACUCCUACGGGAGGCAGCAGUGGGGAAUAUUGCACAAUGGGCGAAAGCCUGAUGCAGCCAGGCCGCGUGUAUGAAGAAGGCCUUCGGGUUGUAAAGUACUUUCAGCGGGGAGGCGUUAACCACAGAAGAAGCACCGGCUAACUACGUGCCAGCAGCCGCGGUAAUUC